rnacentral:rRNA from 1 species
UACGGAGGGUGCGAGCGUUGUCCGGAAUCACUGGGCGUAAAGGGCGCGUAGGCGGCCUGAUAAGUAGGGGGUGAAAUCCUGAGGCUUAACCUCAGGGCUGCCUUCUAAACUGUCAGGCUCGAGCACAGUAGAGGCAGGUGGAAUUCCCGGUGUAGCGGUGGAAUGCGUAGAGAUCGGGAAGAACAUCGGUGGCGAAAGCGCUCUACUGGACCGCAACUGACACUCAGGGACGAAAGCUAGGGGAGCGAAUGGG